UACGAAGGGGGCUAGCGUUGCUCGGAAUCACUGGGCGUAAAGCGCACGUAGGCGGGUUCUUAAGUCAGGGGUGAAAUCCUGGAGCUCAACUCCAGAACUGCCCUUGAUACUGAGGAUCUCGAGUUCGGGAGAGGUGAGUGGAACUGCGAGUGUAGAGGUGAAAUUCGUAGAUAUUCGCAAGAACACCAGUGGCGAAGGCGGCUCACUGGCCCGAUACUGACGCUGAGGUGCGAAAGCGUGGGGAGCAAACAGG
rnacentral:rRNA from 1 species